rnacentral:rRNA from 1 species
CCAUAACCGGAAACGGUCCAACGAUUAAAAGACAGUGGCCCGUAGCUUUUAACUAAGCGACAGGAUAAGAUAUAAUCUGAUUGCCUGAGAGUCAUUUCCAGGCACCAAAUGCAUUAAAUCAGUCAUAAUUUAUUUGAUAGUACCUUUACCUGGAUAACCGUGGUAAUUCUAGAGCUAAUACAUGCUAAAAACCUCGACUUCGGAAGGGGUGUAUUUAUUAGAUAAAAAACCAAUGCCCUUCGGGGCUCCUUGGUGAUUCAUAAUAACUUAACGAAUCGCAUGGCCUUGCGCCGGCGAUGGUUCAUUCAAAUCUCUGCCCUAUCAACUUUCGAUUGUAAGAUAGAGGCUUACAAUGGUUUCAACGGGUAAAACAACGUCUUCGUUGCCCGUCAAACAAUAGCUUGACAUUCUUUUUGACUAAAGAUGUAAGUCAGGUUACGCCGUUGGUUCAGAGGACAUCCAAGUGAUCGAUUCUGAGGUGGUUCUUUUUGACCACUUAAACGCAUGCCAAGCGGUGGGUUCUAAGCAAAUAGCUGAGAACUUAAAGUACAUGCUGUCCUUUUCAGGCUGAGAAGUGUUAAACGAACGGGGAAUUAGGGUUCUAUUCCGGAGAGGGAGCCUGAGAAACGGCUACCACAUCCAAGGAAGGCAGCAGGCGCGCAAAUUACCCAAUC